CAUGCCAUGGCAAAAAUUGUGUAUUGUCAAAACCUGUUCAUUCCAUGUGAAUAAUAUUAUCCCAUUAGACUGACUGAGCAUUUGAACCAUAUUUCAGUGUUUUGAACUGAUAUUAAACUUGGCCUAUUAAUACCAAACAUCUAUCAAAUGACAAAAGUUUAUACUAGACUGCAAAAUAUUUGAUUGGAAGUAAAAAUCAGACAACAAGAAAAGUACAUUCUUAAAUUCCAGGUCCACAGGCUAGAAUGUGUGCCUGACUAAUUUUUGAGGUGUUGGCAUGCCCUUUCACAAUGUUGAGCUCAGAAAAUUAUUCUUAAGCCCUUACUGUGUUUUAUGUAUUGCAUUAAGUGAUGAGUUUCUAAGGACAGAAAAGACUUCAUCUGCGCUUCUAAGGGGAAGGGUGGUAGGAACAAUAAAAGUUACAUGAGAAAGGGAAAUGAUGAAAAUAACCAAAGUCAUUGCCUAUGUCCUCAACAAUUCUGUGAGAGAACAAAAACAAAAUGCCUACAAAAUACUUGGAUGGAAGCAACCACUUACAAGGGAAACACAAACACAGGGUAGCACAGAUUGACCAGCUGCUUGAUGGUCUAUUCAUUACAAGCAAUAAUCCAACAAAAUGAUCUGUUCUAUAUGCAAAGAAACAUAAGCUGCAAAAGAACAUCACACACACACAAGAGACGGAGUGGGGAGUAAGUGAAUCAGGUGUGGCAAUGGCGAGUUUAGAUAUGUAUUAGAAUUGGGGAAUAGGGAGAAGGGAAACUUCGGUUGUGUCAUCAAUGUCAUCAACAAUCCACAGUGCCUAUGUCACAGGCUCUUUUAAGUUCCAAGGAGAGAAAAGGAAUAGAUGCACACUCUCUAGAACUUGAAAGUCUAUUCAGAAGAUGACAUUUACAAAAUGAUAAGUAACAUUUCUUAAAGCCAAAAGAAAAUGAUAAAAAUGCCCUAUAGGAAUUAAGAGAACUGUAAAAAAUUCAGUGCAAUAAGGUAGUGUGGAAAGACUUUACUUGAAAUGGAGUUAUAGUCCAGAGUACUAUUUCUCUCUUAUCCUUAACUAAAUUUCUUCAUCUCCAGAAGCUCCACAAACAUAGCAGUCAAGUCCACUGAUUAGAAAUAAAGAGCAUCUUAUUAUAACCCAAGAGCCAUCCCUUACGAGUUUUGUUCCUUUGGCCAUAUAACAGUCUUUCUAAGACUAAUUAUCCUCAACAUAGUAGGAGAAUGAUAAAAUGCAUACUUCAUAGAUUAGUUUUUAGAAUUAAAUUAUACAAUUCAUUAAAAAAAUCCCUAUACAUACCAAUACGUUUAAUAAAUGUUAGUUACUAAUGGCAAGAAUAAUACCAUUUGCUAAAUUACAAAUAGGUGCUUAGAAAUAAAUUUCUUGAUAUACAUACAAACACAAACAUAAGAAUGUGGAAAUAGGUAGAUGCAGUUGAACACUUGCUGAUUCAUUAACUCAAGUAAAAACUGAAAAAUAAAUACCAUUGCUAGAGAUAUACAAAAAUGCCAAUGAACACUGUACCUGUGGAUAUAAAAUCUGUGGAGCUUGGGUUUUUUAAAAUUACUUUCUUUGAUUCAUAUUUCAUUGUAUACAUCACUACUAUGUUGAACAUUUGACUAUUAUUAAGAUUUAUGAAACUCUGUCCUGAUUUAAAUUCACACCAUGUAACCAAAAGCCCAACAAAAAUUCAGAUGCAACAAAACAGAUAUUGGAAAAAUAGAUAAAAGCAAGUCAAAAGAAUCAUCAGGUUGAAUGCAGUUGUCAUUUUUACUAACACUGUGAGGAUUCAAAUUUAAUUCUACGAUAAACAGAAAAAAGAAUUCAUUUUUGUUCAAGGAAUCUUUAAAAUGUAAAAGUGUAUAUUUACAUGUCAAUUUAGAUAUUUUACUUAGAGUCACUCUUUUAGUUCAUUCAUUCUCUUUAAAAGGAAUGAACUAAUGUCACUAUUCUGACAUGAUGUAACCCCUAUUUUGGAAAAUCUUCAUUGAAUAAACUAAAGUAGAUCCAACCACAGAGCAAUCUCCACACUAAUAACCCUUUACGAGUACAUAUGAUUUUGGUUGUUAACAUAUGAAGAAGCCUAGAUUUACCUAUAGGGCUGUUUUCUGAGUAAUAAACUUAAAGAUCUAUCUCUGUCUCAUAAUCACAGAGAGUAAAUCUCCUCAUAUACUCUAUAAUUUAACCAAUUUUAGUCAUUCUACCUUGUUUAAAAUGUGUUCUAUAUACAUAACAUAUAGAAUUUAGGUAUUUACAUUAUACAAACAUAUUCUUACUCAACAUAGAGUAAAUUAAAGUAUUUCACUCUUCAAGAUUUAUUUUCCACUUUUAUUCUAACACAGUAAGACUCUACUUUCAGGGCAAAAGUGCCAAUCCUGCCAACCCCAUAAGAAUUACUCUAUACGUCUUACAAAAUACACUCAAAGCAUUGUACAAAAGGGACUUCCUUCAUAAACUGUGAAGUCCCAAAAGUACUGUGUGCAAAUAAAAUAAGUAGCCACUACCUAGGUUGAAUUUGAGGGUAAAUGACAGGAUUUCUAGGUUUAAAAACUCCUUUAAUCAAAAUAUCUUCAUUGCCAGUUUAUCAGACUACCUAAAAUUUCACCAGAAGAGAUUUACUCCCUUAUAAUUAUAUAUCCCAGUUUCUGACUCAAUUAAACUAAAACAAAGAUGAUUUUAAUAAGAAAAAUGUAUGGAGACAUCACUUAUUAACAUCUUAACUGCAAUUUGCUUUCUUACCUCCCUUUCCGAACAUUAUAUCUAGCUGCUAUAAAGGAACAGAACCUAAGUCUGAGAGAAUAGGAAGAAUAUUAGAUCUGAAAUUCUGUUAGGGAAAUCAGCCCAUUGGAGAGGGUUUAUUUGUCAAAAAACAACAACAACAAAAAACAACAAACAAAAACACUGCACUACUAUAAUUUAAGCACUCUGAAUUCUGGGAAUGGAAAGUAGAAUAAUAUUCAGUUUCUGCCCUAUAGAGAGAUUGUAGAUUAAAGGAUUAAAGAGAUGUUAAAGAGGGAUUCAGACACAUAACUUAAACAGCUCCAAUUUAUUUUUAAGAAGUGCAACUUUAAGCAAGCCUUUCACUUAUAUAUAGAUAUAUCAGUUAUCCAUCUGCCAGUGUUGGAAUUGGUUUUUAUGCUGAUACUUAGCAUGUUAUAAAAGGCUUAUUGGGAUUGACAAAGGGAUACUGCAAGGGAAAGAGGAUUCCAGGCUGAAGUGGUAUUAAGUGCAAAGGCACAGGGACAUAAAAACACUACCCAGUGCUGUCAAUAUUGCUCACAUGAGGAAAUAAUUUAGCAAAAGAAGGCUUUCU
rnacentral:lncRNA from 1 species